GUCUACUCUUGCUCUGAGUUAUCGUUUACCGAGCUUCUCUUAUCUUUUAUCUUAUUCGAUGUCGACGUUGUUUGAAGGUUCCUGAUCAUCAUCGCAUUGAUUCGCCCUUUUUGUUCAUGACCAAAGGUCUUUUUGAGGCCAUUCAAAUUUGAUGCUUUCUCCUGGUAUUCGAGCUUGGGGCCCGAACUUCUUGUUACUUUGAGGAAGUCUAUUUUCUCCUGCUAGUGUUGGGUUUCCCCUUAGAGACUAAAGACUUUUGACAAAAGUUUUCUU
rnacentral:lncRNA from 1 species